AUGACCUCACGCCUUAUAGUGACUGGGAGAAUCAUCAAUAUGAUUUUUUAUUGCGUUGCUUCAGAGUCUAGAAGUUCAUCCUUCAUAAGAGGGACGGGAAACGUCUCAACUACUAGAGGAGAAUAUAUCUGGUUUCUCGGGGUUAGAGAAGGAAGUGUUACAUCCCUCCUCUCGGUGAGGGAUUCUCCUCACGACUUUGCUAGCCAUGGAUCAUGCUCAACCUUCUCUUCAACCAUUGUUGAACCAAUAAUUCUAGAAGGUUUGAGCUUUUGA